UGCACAGGUUUUGAUAAAUCUCAUGUCUAGGGGCGGAGUUCCCCUUUAAGAAUCUUCACCACCAACACAUGAAAGAAAAAUGACCAACAACACUCCGAGCUCUGAGCAGAGUCUUUGCACCAGAUGUCACCAGGAUCCCUUAUAUUUACGGUAGGAAGGUCGCCUCGGCCUGCUCUGAUGUCAGCAGACUAUGUGGCUGGGCAAGUUCACUCCACUUCUAUGAGUAACACUGGAGGAAGGCAAUUCAUAACAUCGAGAGCAUCAAGUCGGCUGCAUUUUUAGGAGCGAAUAUGGUGCCCCGAAUUGGAAUGUAGCAGAGAUAAUAAGAAGUUUAUCUAAAGAAGAAAUACGCAGAAGAAGACAUAACCAAUUAGCAGCUUUCAACACCCAAUUCAAGCAACCUUUCGCAUACGUCAUUAUAUAGACGUCUAUAUAACCCCUGUACAUUUUUUUUCUGGUUAAUAAAGAAAGUAUCAUCUCAACUGACACUGCGUCAGGGUGGUCUUUCUGGCGUGCGCACCACUCUUGAUAAACUAAACAGGAAGCGGGCAGAUUUUCACUGGGUACAACCAUGAUCUAUGAUAGAGGUGUUAACCCGCAUCAGAAAGAAGCCACAUUCUUACUAUGACACCCACUCGCCUACAUGUGCCUUCAUAGAAUGAACUAUAGGUGUAGCAUGCAAUAGCCUUCCACCCAAGAGAAGCCGUCUGGUCUA